UUUGGUGAUUCUGAUGUAUACUAACAUUUGAGACCCAAAGUUCUUUUAGAAUAUGUAUGUACUCAGUCAUACUGACUCUUUGUGACCUCAUGGACCAUAGACCACCAGGCUUCUCUGUCCAUGGGAUUUUCCGGGCAAGAUAUUGGAGUAGGUUGCCAUUUCCUUCUCCUGGAAUAGCUCUUUUACAUUUGGAUCUUAUGAUGGACUAGUGAAAAUGAAAUGAAGAUGCUGAGACUGAUUUGUUAAUUAUCUGCAAAUGUUACCUUGUUUGAAAAAAGCAUCUCAGCAGAUGUAAUUAAGGAUCUAGAGAUGAGAGAGACCACCCUAGAUUAUCUGCGUGGGCCCCGAAUCCAGUGCCAAAGGUUUUAGUGAAAGUCAAACAGAGGGAGACUCCACACAGAAGAGGGGCCAUGUGACCACCAAAACAGACUGGAAUGAUGAGGUCACAGAGAAAUCCCUGGAGCCAACAGAAUAUGGAAGAGGAAGAAAAUGAAUUAUCUCUUAAAGCCUCUGGAGGGAGCAUUGCCUUGCUGAAUUUCAGAUUUCUAGCCUUCAGGACUGUGAGAGAAUAAAUUUCAAUUGUUUUAAACCA